rnacentral:rRNA from 1 species
CCUACGGGAGGCAGCAGUGGGGAAUAUUGGACAAUGGGCGAAAGCCUGAUCCAGCCAUGCCGCGUGUGUGAAGAAGGUCUUCGGAUUGUAAAGCACUUUAAGUUGGGAGGAAGGGCAUUAACCUAAUACGUUAGUGUUUUGACGUUACCGACAGAAUAAGCACCGGCUAACUCUGU